rnacentral:rRNA from 1 species
UCGGGUUGUAAAGCACUUUUGUCCGGAAAGAAAACUUCUGCCCUAAUACGGUGGGAGGGUGACGGUACCGGAAGAAUAAGCACCGGCUAACUACGUGCCAGCAGCCGCGGUAAUACGUAGGGUGCGAGCGUUAAUCGGAAUUACUGGGCGUAAAGCGUGCGCAGGCGGUUCGUUAAGACAGAUGUGAAAUCCCCGGGCUUAACCUGGGAACUGCAUUUGUGACUGGCGAGCUAGAGUAUGGCAGAGGGGGGGUAGGAUUUCCACGUGUAGCAGUGAAAUGCGUAGAGAUGUGGAGGAAUACCGAUGGCGAAGGCAGCCCCUGGGCCAAUACUGACGCUCAUGCACGAAAGCGUGGGGAGCAAACAGGAUUAGAUACCCUGGUAGUCCACGCCCUAAACGAUGUCAACUAGUUGUUGGGGAUUCAUUUCCUUAGUAACGUAGCUAACGCGUGAAGUUGACCGCCUGGGGAGUACGGUCGCAAGAUUAAAACUCAAAGGAAUUGACGGGGACCCGCACAAGCGGUGGAUGAUGUGGAUUAAUUCGAUGCAACGCGAAAAACCUUACCUACCCUUGACAUGGUCGGAACCCUGCUG